UCUAAGGUGACUGCCGGUGACAAACCGGAGGAAGGUGGGGAUGACGUCAAAUCAUCAUGCCCCUUAUGACCUGGGCUACACACGUGCUACAAUGGACGGUACAAAGAGCUGCAAGACCGCGAGGUGGAGCUAAUCUCAUAAAACCGUUCUCAGUUCGGAUUGUAGUCUGCAACUCGCCUACAUGAAGUUGGAAUCGCUAGUAAUCGCGGAUCAGCAUGCCGCGGUGAAUACGUUCCCGGGCCUUGUACACACCGCCCGUCACACCACGAGAG
rnacentral:rRNA from 1 species